rnacentral:rRNA from 1 species
AUUGAACGCUGGCGGCAGGCCUAACACAUGCAAGUCGAGCGAGCGGCGGACGGGUGAGUAAUGUAUGGGGACUGCCCGAUAGAGGGGGAUAACUACUGGAAACGGUGGCUAAUACCGCAUACUAGCGGAUACCCCAUCUGGGUGUAGCUAGUGGGUGGGGUAAAGGCUCACCUAGGCGACGAUCUCUAGCUGGUCUGAGAGGAUGAUGAGCCACAAGGGGACUGAGACACGGCCCAGACCCCUACGGAGGCAGCAGUGGGGAAUAUUGCAUAAUGGGCGCAAGCCUGAUGCAGGCAUGCCGCGUGUAUGAAGAAGGCCUUAGGGUUGUAAAGUACUUUCAGCGGGGAGGCGUUACCCGCAGAAGAAGCACCGGCUAACUCCGUGCCAGCAGCCGCGGUAAUUC